GACGAACGCUCGCUGCGUGCCUAAUACAUGCAAGUAGAACGCUGAAGAGAGGAGCUUGCUCUUCUUGGAUGAGUUGCGAACGGGUGAGUAACGCGUAGGUAACCUGCCUUGUAGCGGGGGAUAACUAUUGGAAACGAUAGCUAAUACCGCAUAACAAUGGAUGACACAUGUCAUUUAUUUGAAAGGGGCAAUUGCUCCACUACAAGAUGGACCUGCGUUGUAUUAGCUAGUAGGUGAGGUAACGGCUCACCUAGGCGACGAUACAUAGCCGACCUGAGAGGGUGAUCGGCCACACUGGGACUGAGACACGGCCCAGACUCCUACGGGAGGCAGCAGUAGGGAAUCUUCGGCAAUGGGGGCAACCCUGACCGAGCAACGCCGCGUGAGUGAAGAAGGUUUUCGGAUCGUAAAGCUCUGUUGUAAGUCAAGAACGAGUGUGAGAGUGGAAAGUUCACACUGUGACGGUAGCUUACCAGAAAGGGACGGCUAACUACGUGCCAGCAGCCGCGGUAAUACGUAGGUCCCGAGCGUUGUCCGGAUUUAUUGGGCGUAAAGCGAGCGCAGGCGGUUUGAUAAGUCUGAAGUUAAAGGCUGUGGCUCAACCAUAGUUCGCUUUGGAAACUGUCAAACUUGAGUGCAGAAGGGGAGAGUGGAAUUCCAUGUGUAGCGGUGAAAUGCGUAGAUAUAUGGAGGAACACCGGUGGCGAAAGCGGCUCUCUGGUCUGUAACUGACGCUGAGGCUCGAAAGCGUGGGGAGCGAACAGGAUUAGAUACCCUGGUAGUCCACGCCAUAAACGAUGAGUGCUAGGUGUUGGAUCCUUUCCGGGAUUCAGUGCCGCAGCUAACGCAUUAAGCACUCCGCCUGGGGAGUACGACCGCAAGGUUGAAACUCAAAGGAAUUGACGGGGGCCCGCACAAGCGGUGGAGCAUGUGGUUUAAUUCGAAGCAACGCGAAGAACCUUACCAGGUCUUGACAUCCCGAUGCUAUUUCUAGAGAUAGAAAGUUACUUCGGUACAUCGGUGACAGGUGGUGCAUGGUUGUCGUCAGCUCGUGUCGUGAGAUGUUGGGUUAAGUCCCGCAACGAGCGCAACCCCUAUUGUUAGUUGCCAUCAUUCAGUUGGGCACUCUAGCGAGACUGCCGGUAAUAAACCGGAGGAAGGUGGGGAUGACGUCAAAUCAUCAUGCCCCUUAUGACCUGGGCUACACACGUGCUACAAUGGUUGGUACAACGAGUUGCGAGUCGGUGACGGCAAGCUAAUCUCUUAAAGCCAAUCUUAGUUCGGAUUGUAGGCUGCAACUCGCCUACAUGAAGUCGGAAUCGCUAGUAAUCGCGGAUCAGCACGCCGCGGUGAAUACGUUCCCGGACCG
rnacentral:rRNA from 1 species